rnacentral:rRNA from 1 species
UAGUCCACGCUGUAAACGAUGAGAACUAGCCGUUGGACCCUUUACUGGAUUUAGUGGCGCAGCUAACGCGAUAAGUUCUCCGCCUGGGGAGUACGGCCGCAAGGUUAAAACUCAAGUGAAUUGACGGGGGCCCGCACAAGCGGUGGAGCAUGUGGUUUAAUUCGAAGCAACGCGAAGAACCUUACCUGGCCUUGACAUCCGGCGAAUUUGGCAGAGAUGCCUUAGUGCCUUCGGGAACGCCGAGACAGGUGCUGCAUGGCUGUCGUCAGCUCGUGUUGUGAAAUGUUGGGUUAAGUCCCGCAACGAGCGCAACCCUUGUCCCUAGUUGCCAGCACUUCGGGUGGGAACUCUAGGGAGACUGCCGGUGACAAACCGGGAGGAAGGUGGGGACGACGUCAAGUCAUCAUGGCCCUUAUGGGGCAGGGGCUACACACGU